AGGCGCCGCGCGGCUGUGCCCCCAAAUGCGGCUGUGUGGGACGGAGGGCUGCUGUGUCGGGGGCUCCCGCUCUCUGCCUGCGGGGGGAAGGCGGACAGCGCUUCAAGGUCACCGCGACGCGCGGGUUCCCUGGCAGGGGUGUCCCGAUGUUUUAAAGAGCCGCCGGUGGGCAGCGAGGCUGUUUUUGUUAUUUAUGGUGCCCCGUGCGCGUGCUGGGUAACCGAGCCGUUGGUGAGGAAAGCCGGAUUCCUGUCACAGCCCGCUGUCGCGUGCAGGAUGAGCGCAGCUGUGUUGCUGCACAAAUAACAGCGGGCAGCCCCGGGUCGGGCACGUGGCCGAGUCACCCCGGUCCCAGAACUCUUCGUGUUUCGUAAGCAAAGCCAACAUUGUGAUGGAACAAUUCCUAGGAACGCGACGCUGUGAGCACAGGUGGCCCCAGGGCACUUAGUUCUGUGGAGCGGGUGGGAGCGGGAGGUUGGGACGAGUUGGGAACGCCGCAGGUUUCUUGCUGUUGGAGUCUGAAGCGGGAGCAUAGCCCCUGAAGGAGUUGCUUCAGCGGCCUGGGGCUGCUGGGAAGGUCCUCUGUGAUGGCAGAGGAAAGCAGGGAGAGGGAGAAGAGCCCCGCUAAGUGUUGUUUUUCAGAUUCUCCCACUCAUUGCCAGACCCUCUGGCUGGAUCCAGAUAAAGUUAACAGUCAGAAAAAAAUUGGUGAAAUCUUCAGGUUUCCAGAACUAUUGCCUGAGUAGGUAGCUAAUGAAGGGCAGGGCCAAGAAGAGAAGAAGAGCAGGAG